rnacentral:rRNA from 1 species
UACGGAGGGGGCUAGCGUUGUUCGGAAUUACUGGGCGUAAAGCGCACGUAGGCGGCUUUGUAAGUUAGAGGUGAAAGCCCGGGGCUCAACUCCGGAAUUGCCUUUAAGACUGCAUCGCUAGAAUUGUGGAGAGGUAAGUGGAAUUCCGAGUGUAGGGGUGAAAUUCGUAGAUAUUCGGAAGAACACCAGUGGCGAAGGCGACUUACUGGACACAUAUUGACGCUGAGGUGCGAAAGCGUGGGGAGCAAACAGG